GAUGAACGCUGGCGGCGUGCUUAACACAUGCAAGUCGAACGAUGAAGCUAGAGCUUGCUCUGGUGGAUUAGUGCGAACGGGUGAGUAACACGUGAGUAACCUGCCCCGAACUCUGGGAUAACUGCUGGAAACGGUAGCUAAUACCGGAUAUGACCAAUGAAGGCAUCUUCUGUUGGUGGAAAGAAUUUCGGUUCGGGAUGGACUCGCGGCCUAUCAGCUUGUUGGUGAGGUAACGGCUCACCAAGGCGACGACGGGUAGCCGGCCUGAGAGGGUGAUCGGCCACACUGGGACUGAGACACGGCCCAGACUCCUACGGGAGGCAGCAGUGGGGAAUAUUGCACAAUGGGCGCAAGCCUGAUGCAGCAACGCCGCGUGAGGGACGACGGCCUUCGGGUUGUAAACCUCUUUUAGUAGGGAAGAAGCGAAAGUGACGGUACCUGCAGAAAAAGCACCGGCUAACUACGUGCCAGCAGCCGCCGUAA
rnacentral:rRNA from 1 species